rnacentral:rRNA from 1 species
GGACGGGUGCGUAACGCGUAUGCAACCUGCCUGACACAGGGGGAUAAUCCGAAGAAAUUUGGUCUAAUACCCCAUAAUACCGAUAUAGGCAUCUAUGUUGGUUGAAAGCUUUGGUGGUGUCAGAUGGGCAUGCGUUGUAUUAGCUAGUUGGUGAAGUAACGGCUCACCAAGGCGACGAUACAUAGGGGGACUGAGAGGUUAACCCCCCCACACUGGUACUGAGACACGGACCAGACUCCUACGGGAGGCAGCAUG